GAGAGAGACAUGCGCGCAUAUCAAUAAGCGGAGGAAAAGAAACUAACAAGGAUUCCCUUAGUAACGGCGAGUGAAGCGGGAAGAGCUCAAAUUUGAAAUCUUCAAGGUUUUACCUUGACGAAUUGCUAGUUUAAAGAAGUGUUUUCUGCUGAAGUUUUGGUAAAAGUUCUUUGGAAUAGGACAUCAUAGAGGGUGAGAAUCCCGUAUUUGACCAUUAUUUUCAGCUUUGUGAUACACUUUCAAAGAGUCGGAUUGUUUGGGAAUGCAGUCCAAAAUGGGUGGUAAAUUUCAUCUAAAGCUAAAUAUUGGCGAGAGACCGAUAGCGAACAAGUACCGUGAGGGAAAGAUGAAAAGAACUUUGAGAAGAGAGUUAAACAGUACGUGAGAUUGUCAAAAGGGAAGCGUUUGACACCAGUGUUGUUUUCUCGAAAAUCAAUUAAAAAUGGCUCGAUUUUGUAUUGUUGAGACCUUAAAAGCUCACUGUACAUUUUUCGUGUCUUUUUUAAUGCACUUUUCGUUUAACAAGUCAACAUCAGUUUCUUUUGUUGUAAAAGGGUCAUUGGAAGGUGGCUUUCUUUUCGGAGAAAGUGUUUAUAGCCUUUGGCCUCUGCAAUCGGAGAGACUGAGGUCUGCAGCGUAGACUCUUCGGGGUUAGAUACAUUUGUGCUAAGUUAUAGCUUUUUAUAGACAACUUGUUGACUAUAAUUAGUCUUGUAGCUUACUCGCUUAUGCUAUUUUACCUACGCUUAGGAUGUUGAGUCGUAGAGCACGCAG
rnacentral:rRNA from 1 species